rnacentral:rRNA from 1 species
CCUACGGGUGGCAGCAGUGAGGAAUAUUGGUCAAUGGACGCAAGUCUGAACCAGCCAUGCCGCGUGCAGGAUGAAGGCUCUAUGAGUUGUAAACUGCAUUUGUACGAGGGUAAACCGCGAUAAGCGUACCGGGUUGAAAGUAUCGUACGAAUAAGGAUAGGCUAACUCCGUGCCAGCAGCCGCGGUAAUACGGAGGAUCCGAGCGUUAUCCGGAUUGAUUGGGGUUAAAGGGUGCGUAGGCGGUUUGAUAAGUUAGAGGUGAAAUGUCGGGGCUCAACCCGGAAACUGCCUCUGAUACUGUUGGACUAGAGAAUAGUUGCGGUAGGCGGAAUGUAUGGUGUAGCGGUGAAAUGCUUA